UACGGAGGGUGCAAGCGUUAUCCGGAUUCACUGGGUUUAAAGGGUGCGUAGGUGGGCAGGUAAGUCAGUGGUGAAAUCUCUGGGCUUAACCCGGAACUGCCGUUGAUACUAUCUGUCUUGAAUGUAGUGGAGGUGAGCGGAAUAUGUCAUGUAGCGGUGAAAUGCUUAGAUAUGACAUAGAACAUCGAUUGCGAGCAGCUCGCUACACUAUGACU
rnacentral:rRNA from 1 species